rnacentral:rRNA from 1 species
AGCGAACGCUGGCGGCAGGCCUAACACAUGCAAGUCGAACGAAGUCUUCGGACUUAGUGGCGGACGGGUGAGUAACACGUGGGAACGUGCCUUUAGGUUCGGAAUAACUCAGGGAAACUUGUGCUAAUACCGAAUGUGCCCUUCGGGGGAAAGAUUUAUCGCCUUUAGAGCGGCCCGCGUCUGAUUAGCUAGUUGGUGAGGUAAAGGCUCACCAAGGCUACGAUCAGUAGCUGGUCUGAGAGGAUGACCAGCCACAUUGGGACUGAGACGCGGCCCAAACGCCUACGGGAGGCAGCAGUGGGGAAUCUUGCGCAAUGGGCGAAAGCCUGACGCAGCCAUGCCGCGUGGAUGAUGAAGGUCUUAGGAUUGUAAAAUCCUUUCACCGGUGAAGAUAAUGACUGUAGCCGGAGAAGAAGCCCCGGCUAACUUCGUGCCAGCCGCCGCUGUAAGAC